rnacentral:rRNA from 1 species
GGGGGAUAUUGCACAAUGGGCGCAAGCCUGAUGCAGCGACGCCGCGUGAGGGAUGACGGCUUUCGGGUUGUAAACCUCUUUUACUAUUGAACAAGGCGCCAUAUUGGUGGUGUUGAGGGUAGGUGGUGAAUAAGCGCCGGCUAACUACGUGCCAGCAGCCGCGGUAAUACGUAGGGCGCGAGCGUUGUCCGGAAUUAUUGGGCGUAAAGAGCUCGUAGGCGGCUUGUCGCGUCUGCUGUGAAAUCCUGGGGCUUAACUCUGGGCGUGCAGUGGGUACGGGCAGGCUAGAGUGCGGUAGGGGUGAUUGGAAUUCCUGGUGUAGCGGUGGAAUGCGCAGAUAUCAGGAGGAACACCGAUGGCGAAGGCAGGUCACUGGGCCGUUACUGACGCUGAGGAGCGAAAGCAUGGGGAGCGAAC